ensembl:lncRNA
GGAGCAGGAGUCAUCCUCACUAAUUCAGCUUCCACCUAGAAACAGAAAGACCACAAACAAACACACUGAUAGACUCUCAAACGUUCAACCUCACAGCCUCAAAAUAUCUGUUCAGGAAGUGUUGUGUUUCUAAAUUCUGCUGAAAGCAUUGACAGACAUUCUCUUACAAGGUUGUGUAAAAAGCAGCCUGUCCUCUGAGCUACUGAGAAAUCUUCCUGAGCAAAGUUUCUAUGAGUAAAUCGGCUCAACAAAAACUAAAGCCUCAGCCAGAGAUAACAGGUACCACAAAUUAUAAACAACUUUCUUUGUUAACUCAGACUUUCUGCUUCAACCUCACAUAAAAAGGGGAGUUUAACUUGUCAGGUGACUGAAAAUGAAUGGCUUGUGCAGUUCUAGAUCCAAAAGUAGGAUGUUUCAACUCAUGUUUUACUACAAAUACAUGCAAUAAUAAAUAAAUACAAUGGCUGGUUGUUAGUUUAUUCACUAUUAAUGUCACUUUAUAUACUGGAUUGAACUUGAGCAGUGGAAGAGAGAAGGAAUUUAAUGAAAUUAUGGAGACAUUGCACAAUGUUAAGCGCGGUUUAAGUCAAACCAGCUGAAUGUUAAACUGCAGUGUAGCUCAACGGGUUUCAGUUAACCUUAAAGUAGAAUAACUUCUUUUAAAAGCUAAAAUACACAGCAGAGAAAUACAGGUUGAGAAGUUCCUUCUAAUAAUGAGGACAGCUGCAGCAGCAACUAACACAGGUGUUCAGCAGUAAGUUAGCCACCUGUGUUAAUUAGCCCGCUAGCUAACUUAGCCGCUUAGCUAGCUAACGCGUACAGACCAACUGCUCAAACACGACAAAACACAACUCUUCACAAGUUGCUGAUGACCACUUCCGGUCUCAGAAAAUGAAAAACUGGAACUUUUUUCGUUUCUGUCUUUUACUGAUUUUAUUUUUUUGUUAUUCUAAAUAUAAAAUGAAAAUUAAAGCAUUUUUAAAUUUUCGUAUAUCCCUUUUUUAUCAUGAAAAGGAAAAACACCUUGUAUUUCAAUUUUAAUUUUUGUAUUUUAAAACGAAAAUCAAAUAACCACUUUUUGUUUUUCAAUACCCGUUUCAGAACGGAAAAUCCAAUUGCCAAAAUAUACACGGGUCCGUGUACCUUCCGUUCAUUUUAUUUCUAAUUCUGAAACGCAAAUCGAAAAACAAAUUUAGGGCCAUUUUUCUAUUGUCAUUUCUGAAACAAAAAUCGGACAACUAUUUAAUGACCCGUUUUUUAAACAAAAUAUUGCAUUUCUGAGUCAAAUUUUAGUUUUCGGGGAAAGGCCUUAAUUUUCUCUUUUUCCAAUUUCAAUUUUCAAUUUUUACGCUUUUCAGUCUGUGGCCCGGAAAUAAAUAAAUAAUUGCGCGGAUUGGUCCGUGUGUCAGGAAGGUCACGGUGCUAGUCUGGUCGUCUUGGUGUCCGGCAAGAAUUUCUCGUACGCAAUGGAUUCUACCAGUUACAUCCUUUUUAAAGGAAACAAAAGGCUAACGCUUAGGGAGGACGACAUGAAUGGAGAUAAAAUCGCCAGAAUAUUCCAGGUAUAUGCUCCGAGCCUGUACAUAACCGAUGAUGACAAUGUGGCCAUAUUCCCUGGUUGGGCUGGACAUUUCAGCUGCUUGGACCUUAAACCUCGUGGCCACUAUGAGGUUCAUGGGGAUGAUAUUGCUCUACCAGUCGCCGAGCAGACUCCUCCAUUGUCAGGCCAGAACCGUUUCCAGUUCCACCGUUCAGCACAGCCCGCUGCUGCUCUAGGGUCACCUGCUCAGGCCAUUGCUCCCACUCCCCCCCGAGCAAGCAUGAGUAACACCUUCCAAAGGUCUGUUUUCAUUGCUGAGCUCAGCCAGGGGAAACUGAAGCCUGCCCGCAUGGUUGUACUCAGACUGUUUGAGUUUGAAGCCACAACCACAGGUAUCCUUGCAAAACUACAUGAUGCCCUGCAGAGUGAUGACCCUCUCAUCCUGACUGAUGCCCAGGGAAAUGAGAUUGUGGACUCCGAAGGGACAAGAGGAUCCAAGUACUGGAAGCAAAAUGCAAAAAAGUUUCUUGCUGUCCCAGAGCAGAUCUUCCAUGAGUUCCAGCAAGGAACAAAGGGAAAGAAACUGAACCAUAAAGAUAUGGACUCCACAAGUCUUCAGGGGGUCUAUGAUAAAAUAGAAGAAGUGAUCUUGGCUGCUCAAGGACUGAAUGAAGUCACCAGAGUCAUGAAGGACCUGUCAACACAUGCCAGCAACACCAGGGGUGCCAUGCUGGUUCUGACCAACACCAUGAUAACACACAUGAAGGAUGCCUUUGGUUGUAUUGUAUACAAAGGGCUAUUGGAAGAGCCUGUGAUUGCCAUAUGCUGCAAAAGCUUUGUUGGCUGCAAAAACUGCGUUGACCAGUGGAUGCUGACAUCCGACCAGUGCCUCAAAUGCAGGGCAGAUGAGUUCUCUGUCAAUGUUCACAGGCUGACCAGUCUUGACAAUCUUCUCUCCAUACUGGCUGGUGUAAUUAAGAUGGAUUAACCCUUUAAGUGUGAUUGUAUCACAUUCUGAUUUAAGCUUGAUCUGGCUAAUUGCCUUGUUCUAAAGUCAGUUGGAAUUUUGCACUUGUUCAAUAACUGUAGAGGAUACAGAAUAGUUUUAUUUUUAUACAUUUUUUUUGUAUUUCAUGUUGCACUUAGACCAAUAUUGCUAUUAUAGCAAUUUUAGCAAGUGUUCAAUUUUAUUUAUUAAAGGAAAGUAACAGAAUAUCUACUAUAUCCAGAAACAACUGGUCUUUAUUUGACAUGUUCAUGCAUAUUGCUGUGUAAUGUUCAUCAGAUACAGCAAUGCAUCUUGAAAAGGUACGAAGUUAUAGUUUACCACAUUAUCUAGUAAAACUGAAAUAUCAGGGUACUGUUCAGCCAAAAGUUGUUCUGCUGAUAUUUUGUCCUCCUCAGUUGAGAAUGGGUCAGUUCCAAAGCAGGAGACUGGAGUUAGUGAAGAGCCAACAUCCUGCUGGUACAUGUCUGCUGCUUGGGAGGCAUGAGGCAACAACUCCUCUCCCAGUUUCUUUGGACGUCCUCCUGCUGCUAAACAAGUGGGUGUUCCUUUGCCUGUGAAGCAAAGCAUAGGUCACAAAAUGUCAUUUUUGUUAAACUUCACUGUCAACAUUUGAAUAAAAAAAGGUUCACAAAAAAGGACUGGAUUGUAUGAUGCAUAUUUUUUUAACUCACCUGGGAUUCUGUGUGCAUUCCAUGCAUGUACAGCUCUUGUUAUGC